rnacentral:rRNA from 1 species
AUUGAACGCUGGCGGCAUGCUUUACACAUGCAAGUCGAACGGCAGCAUGGGCUUCGGCCUGAUGGCGAGUGGCGAACGGGUGAGUAAUGCAUCGGAACGUACCCAGUCGUGGGGGAUAACUAUCCGAAAGGAUAGCUAAUACCGCAUACGACCUGAGGGUGAAAGCAGGGGAUCUUCGGACCUUGUGCGAUUGGAGCGGCCGAUGUCAGAUUAGCUAGUUGGUGGGGUAAGAGCCUACCAAGGCGACGAUCUGUAGCGGGUCUGAGAGGAUGAUCCGCCACACUGGGACUGAGACACGGCCCAGACUCCUACGGGAGGCAG